UAAGUGCCUAACCUUGAAUUAAUGUAUUAGUAGUUGAGUGUGGUAGAAAGAACAUAACCUCUGUAAUUAUUUGUUAAAAUGGCUGGCAGCUCCAUGAGAGUGGGGAUGAUGUAAUUCUUGUGCAUUACUGUAUUUCCCCACCUAGCACAGUAGAUGCAACCCUUGACAAAUGAAAUGCUACAAAGCAACAAUAAUCAAAACAACGUAGUAUUGGCAUAAAAGCAGACAUAUGGAUCAACGGAGCAGAAUAGAGAGCCCAGAAAUAAACCCACACACCUAUGGUCAAUUAAUCUUGGCAAAAGGGAGGCAAGAACAUAUAAUGAAGAAAAGACAGUCUCUUCAGCAAGUGGUGUUGGGAAAGCUGGACAGCUGCAGAUGGAACAUAUUCGCCCACCUUCCAACCACUUCCACAACUCUCUCUGCCCAGCAGAGAAUUAUGGGGUGCGGAUACACAGCAGUGGGCCGGGAAGUAGCACUCGCGUCAGGCCAGCGGACCAGCACAACUCACUCUGCAGUCGGCGCCGCGCCCUCCGUUUCCAAGGUGACCGGCGCGCUAGGGCGUCCCCUCCCAGGACCCAACGGUGCGGCGAG